rnacentral:rRNA from 1 species
UGGGGAAUCUUGCACAAUGGGCGAAAGCCUGAUGCAGCAACGCCGCGUGCGGGAAGACAGCCCUAGGGUUGUAAACCGCUUUCAGCAGGGAAGAAACUGACGGUACCUGCAGAAGAAGAUGCGGCCAACUACGUGCCAGCAGCCGCGGUGACACGUAGGCAUCAAGCGUUAUCCGGAUUUAUUGGGCGUAAAGAGCUCGUAGGCGGUUCGGUAAGUCGGGUGUGAAAACUCUGGGCUCAACCCAGAGAGGCCACUCGAUACUGCUGUGACUAGAGUGCGGUAGGGGAGCGGGGAAUUCCUGGUGUAGCGGUGAAAUGCGCAGAUAUCAGGAGGAACACCAGUGGCGAAGGCGCCGCUCUGGGCCGUAACUGACGCUGAGGAGCGAAAGCAUGGGUAGCAAACAGGAUUAGAUACCCUGGUAGUCCACGCCGUAAACGAUGAGUGCUAGUCGUCGGCAGGCAUGCCUGUCGGUGACGCAGCUAACGCAUUAAGCACUCCGCCUGGGA